CUUUUUUUUUUUUUUUUUUUUUUUUAAAUCUAACACAAUCGUUUCUGUGCAGUCCUUUGCACUGGUUUCUAAGGCAACAUCACUUUCCAGGAUGAUGAGCUACUCCUUGCCAGCGUCGCCAACUAACGGGAUCUCUCAUUAGAAUCUUCUUACCAAUAACUGUCAGUGAUUAGACUCACCAGAACAAUCACGGACAUGCUCAGUCUAUAAAAGCCAAAAACAUAAAACUGCGAUUUACACUCUCACUCGCCUGUAUGCUCACACACACAUAUGCAUGUUGUGCUGUUUGGCCAAACACUCACUGUAUGUAAAAUAAGCAGCAACACAUGAAGCCUGAAGUCUGACCGUACCCACUGAACUUGCAUGCUGCUUUUCUACUCGCAGCCUGGAAGAAGCCAGGUAAAAGGAUAAAAAGAUGAACUGGAAUAUUUAGUGUUCUGGUCAUAGCAACUUUGCACUACAAGCUUAACAUUUGAAAGCCAUGGAGCUGUACGAUACGUAAACACAGUCUCAUGUUUUAUAGGACAGGACAUUUGCAGAUCAAAUCCUAUGUACUUUAAAAAUCGUAGUGAUCACAGAAUCACAGAACCCUAGACUGGUUUGUGUUAGAAGGGAUCUUAUAGCUCAUCUCAUUCCAGCCCCCCUGCCAUGGGCAGGGACACCUUCCACUAGACUAGGUUGCUCCAAGCCCCGUCCAACCUGGCCUUGAACACUGCCAAGGAUGGGAAAAUCAAUGAAAACCAGAAUUAGAACACACUCAAGAGUGUUUCCAACUCAGAAUAUUACCAGUAUUUGGUUAUUGUAGGUGUAUUUGAUAGCGGAAACUGCAAAGAGAAAAAGCGAGGUCAACUGAAUGAUACACAAGCAAUGAACUAGCAACAUCAGCCAGGAAAGAUGAGCCUUGAAAGUUAAACAGCACUAAGGAAACAUGUUCAACAUUCUGAAUCUGGCAGAAUUUACAAACAGAAGUAUAUUUAUUUUUCUCCCAGCUCUUCUUGAAAAUAGAGUGUCAGCGAUGGGCAGGAAUAUAAAGUAAAGGAAGAAAACAAAACUUAGGAAGUCUUCGCCAAAAACUGCAGGUGCCAGCUUGAAGUGAGAGUUGCUGCAUGUGACCAUCCAGCUGGAGAUAAAGUCAGUACCAGUGUAACACCCAGUAAAAAACCAACCCAACAAACGUUAAAAGGGCAUAUGCAGUAAGUUACAGCUGGUUUGAGCAACUCAGAAGAGAACACAUUCAGGGCUAUACCCUAAUUCAACAGAAGACAAAUAGGCCUCUAAACACCCAGUAUCUGCAAAAGCAUCCUCUAAGCUCAUCCCACUAUUUAAUGAUGGGUAAAACCGAUACCUCAACAAAACCUUCUGUGAAAGCAGCAAAUACAAACACACAAGUGCUAAAAAAUAGGGGGAAAGCAGAUAAUAGCAAAGUUCUCUCACUGCUUCAUAAAUAUGUUUAAUUCUGACAUGAGAACUGGCUGACAACAUUGUUUGUUUUUCACUUCUCUCACACACCUAACUGGGAUAAUUAACAGGUCUUAAUUAAUGAACAGGCUGCAAUACGAUGUUAAUCUGACCACUUCAGAAGCACUACUAAAGCAGCACUGGUAUUACAAGGUACGACUGCCUUUGUGCUGUAAUUUCAGGUAAGAUGGAUGCUGUUAGUGACACAUCCAUACCCUACCCCAUUGUGUUCAUGUGGCUGAUCAGCUCCUAGCAGAGAAACCUGAUAACAGUUUGGGGUCCCACAGGAGAAUGACAGACAUUGUAUGAAUGAAAGGUUACCAGGGAAAUGCUAAACUGACUUCACAUGAUGAUGACACCAGUAUAAUGGAAACCAGUCAGGAAAACAAAGUAUUUAGAGAAAGGGCUUCAUUGUGGCUGCAGAAGAAAAGCAAAUACUGUAAUUGAGCAGGGACAGCAUUUCUUGCUUGUCAAUGUAUCUUAUUUACAAACAAGGGAUUUAGAGCUGUCAUAUUGAGAAAUAUGUACUGUAUUACAGGCAGUGGUGCUGUGCCAAUGGGCUGCAAUGACAGCCUGUCAUCGGGGCAGCUGAAAGGGUGGGCACUGGAGGGAUGCCCACAGCAGGCAACAACAGAGAUUGUAUUGGAAGCUCUUGAGGAAAGAGGGAAACUAAGCAUCAGACAACCACUUUAACAGGCCCCUCCAUUCCAUGCUUGGGAAAAUAAUUCAGAAGCAAAACCGUGUAGACCACAGCAUGGUCAUGCAAUAAUGGGCUUCACUCUGCCAGCACCAAAGCUACAGCAGCAUUAAGUACCAGAACAUCACUGUAACAGACAUGUGAAGAUGGCCCCUUCCUGAACAGCAAUGCAGAUCAAAACAAGAAGACUUUACAGAACCCCAAAACCUGAAAUUUUUUUUUUUUAAUAGAAUAAUCUUUAAGGACAGACUGGAGAAAGAAAAUAAUCUUUUGAAAGUCGUAAUGUUGAAACUGUUGUUACUUUUUUAUAAGGGCCUUUAGGGACAGGACAAGGGGGAAUGGCUUUAAACUGACAGAGGGGAGAUUUAGAUGAGAUCUGAGGCAGAAGUUCUUCCCUGUGAGGGUGGUGAGGCCCUGGCACAGGUUGCCCAGAGAAGCUGUGGCUGCCCCAUCCCUGGCAGUGUUCAAGGCCAGGCUGGACGGGGCUUGGAGCAACCUGCUCUAGUGGAAGGUGUCCCUGCCCGUGGCAGGGGGGUGGAGCUGUACGAGCUUUAAGGUCCCUUCCAAUCCAGACCAUUCUAGGAUUCUAUAAAAUACAACUUGAGGAGUAAUAGGAAGAGGGAUGCUAGCAAUAAAACCAAAUCAAAUGGCUCAACACAGAUGACCGAAAGCCUUCUAUCAUUUCCUCUGUUAACUAUUUCUCACCAUCAAAUCCCCAGCCCUGCCUCAGCCAGGGCACCUGCCUGGAAGCACAAAUUUUAGGACCCUUCUUUUAGAGAGAAUUCCCAAUUUUAGUUUAACUUCCACACAAGAGGCCAGCAUAAAGGCUCAGUCACGUUUUUAAAGGCUGAUAAUGUCUGAUGUGGUUUGGUUAUCAUCUCAGCUGCCUCCUGACAUUAAAAGGCAUAAAAUAAUUUUUCAGAAGAAUCUGGGGCAGUUCUUACA
ensembl:lncRNA